rnacentral:rRNA from 1 species
CUACAGUUUGGACGUCUUUCCGGCACGUGUAAGUAAAAGCUUCAGUAAGGUGAAACCGCGAAUGGCUCAUUAAAUCACACCUAAUCUACGGAAAGUUAACCAGUGUGUACUUGGAUAACUGAGCUAAUUGUUGCAAGCUAAUGACAUGCGCCUACUGAAAAUCCCCGACGCAAGGAGGGGAGCUUUUAUUAGAUCAAAACCAGACGGCUUAUGCCGUACUCCUGGUGACUCUGAAUAACUUUGGGCUGAUCGCAUUGCCUUGUGCAGGCGACAUUUCCUUCGAAGGUGUGCCCUAUCAACUUUCGACUGUGAUAUAGACGCUCACAGUGGUUUAUGACGGGUAACGGGGAAUCAGCGGUUCGAUUCCGGAGAGGGAGCCGAUUAAAAACGGCUACCACAUCCAUUAGGAAGGCAGCAGGCACGCAAAUUACCCAAAUUGGUCGAACAGACCGAGGUAGUGACGAAAAAUAACGAUACAGGACUCAUCACGAGGCCCUGUAAUUGGAAUGAGUACACUUUAAAACCGUCCCGUGUCGAGGAUCAAUUGGAGGGCAAGUCUGGUGCCAGCUUAAGCCGCGGUAAUUCCAGCUCCAAUAGCGUAUAUUAAUCAGUUGUUGUGGUUAAAAAGCUCGUAGUUGGAUCUCGGCGGGCAGAAGUCGGUGCGAACGCAUUCGCUACUGGCUUGUUUGCUCGU